CGAGAAACGAGACAGCUUCAAUCUCAAGCAUUGCAAUUCGUCCGUGGGCACCAGCACGAGAGCGUGCAGAUAACAUUGGGCCGACCAAAUGGGUUCGAAGUGCAAGGAAUUUGCUUUCUAAAAACCUAAAGCUAUUGAAGAUGGUCAAAAGGACUUUCAGCGCAGAGUUGAGUAAACAUCCCAAGUGGUACGAGACAGCUUGCAGCUUAAAGUAACAAGCCGUAGUUGCUGCAUUCAAAGACUCAAAAACUGGGCUUUGAUUCAGCACUUGUGAGGAGCAGGAGCUUAUAUGACUCUUAAAAAGCAGAAGAAUGAUGUUAAUUUCAGGAGGCGGUGUGGCAGGCAGUAAUUCACCUCAAUUUUCUAUCACCUCAUACAUCAGUGACGAAUGCUCAACUUGCAUGAGCUAUUGACAUAGUUGGACGCCAAUUCUUCAUUCGUUGUUGACUUUGCAGAUCAGGUUGGUUUCAAUAACAGUCCAUACUGGAUGAGCACAAAUAAUUG